GACGAACGCUGGCGGCGUGCUUAACACAUGCAAGUCGAACGGAAAGGCCCUGCUUUUGUGGGGUGCUCGAGUGGCGAACGGGUGAGUAACACGUGAGUAACCUGCCCUUGACGUUGGGAUAACUUCAGGAAACUGGGGCUAAUACCGGAUAGGAGCUCCUGCUGCAUGGUGGGGGUUGGAAAGUUUCGGCGGUUGGGGAUGGACUCGCGGCUUAUCAGCUUGUUGGUGGGGUAGUGGCUUACCAAGGCUUUGGCGGGUAGCCGGCCUGGGAGGGUGACCGGCCACCUUGGGCCUGAGGUACGGCCCAGUCUCGUACGGGGGGCAGCAGUGGGGAAUAUUGCACAAUGGGCGGGAGCCUGAUGCAGCAACGCCGCGUGCGGGAUGACGGCCUUCGGGUUGUAAACCGCUUUCGCCUGUGACGAAGCGUGAGUGACGGUAAUGGGUAAAGAAGCACCGGCUAACUACGUG
rnacentral:rRNA from 1 species